AGAGCGAACGCUGGCGGCAUGCUUAACACAUGCAAGUCGCACGGCUGGGGUAACUCAGCAGUGGCGGACGGGUGAGUAACGCGUAGGUAUCUAUCUCCGGGUGGGGGACAACUGUGGGAAACUACAGCUAAUACCGCAUGAAACCCGAGGGUCAAAGCAGCGAUGCGCCUGGAGAGGAGCCUGCGUACGAUUAGCUUGUUGGUGGGGUAAUGGCCCACCAAGGCGACGAUCGUUAGC
rnacentral:rRNA from 1 species